rnacentral:lncRNA from 1 species
GCCUGCUCUCUCUUUCUCUGUAUGAGACAGAAAGACAAAGAGAGAGUUGUUGAGUAGGGAGGGGACAAACCUCAGCCACUGAUUCACUCUCCUGUUAGAAUGUUCAAACUAUAUCAUUUUUAGAAAGGAGCAAUGACUGCCUUCAGGACUUUUGGAUGAAAAUAGGAAUGAUUGAUGAUGAUGAUGAAGAAAAUAUAUUUCUUUCUUUAUGUUUUUAGCUCAAGUUAUCUGCAAAUACAUGCUUCUUUUUUAUUUUGCUGGAAAGACUUCAACAUAUCUGUACGUUUUUACAUUAAACUCUCUUGAAAUCCACAUAGAAUCCAGACCAUCCUUCAGGGAAUAGGAUGUGAAUGAGGGCUUUGCCUGGCACACAGCACCAAUAUGUUAGCUAUCAUCAUGAUUAGUAUUACUAAUUUUAUCCCUCAGGGGACCUACCACUUGGUCUGGGCUUAGCCAUUGCAUUGCAUAAAGUGUCCUGGAGACCACUCUUGAUGUGUAAUCCAGGUCAACACUGCUAUUUAUUGGGUUUUAAUUUUGACGUGAGCAAAACUUGGAUUCUGUAAGCUCUUUGACUCAAAAUUUUGUGCCUCUGUGAAGUACUACAGAUUUCUCACAGGCUGGGGAAUUAGCAAACCCUGGGUGUCGGCAGUGGUUGGUGCCAUGGUGUGUGUGUGGGGGGGUGCUGGGAUGGUGGGGGACACACAGAUAUGGAGCAGGGGGGGUUGCCAGUUUCUUUAGAAGGCAGUGUUUGCCUUUCCCUGGGCAGAGGUUGUGAAGGUUAAGAAAACCUGGUUAACAGAAGCCAGGGACAGAUGUUACCUAAUUUGGUCAAAGAACAAAGAGUGUAUAAAACAUUUGGAAAUCCCGAACAGUGCACUGGGAUGGGGCACUUACUGGAAGGGCAGAAACAGAUUUACCACCCAGAAUUCAGAGUAGGGCGACUGCAUCUCAGGAGUUUUCGGCACCGAUUGUACUGCCUGUUCCCCGUCCACCCCUUCUCCCUCGCCGGCGUCCUCAGCUGCGGAGUGGAAGCAAGAGGCACGUGGGGGAAAGACUGGGACAGACCUGGUCCCCCGCUCUCCUGGCACGGUGGGCCUGUCAUGGCGGCCCAGCGACAGCUCUCCGACAGCACAGCAAGAAGAAUGAAAAGGUCUCGGGGGUCAGGGCUGCACAGACCCCUGCCCCGCCUGCGCUCUGCCAGGCUAGCCCCGAGGGAGCGCCCGAUCACAUGGAUCCCGCCUCCCGCGACGCGGAUCCGCCCCGACCUCGAGCUCAGCCUCGCGCUCCGGCGCCCACCUGGGGAGCCGGCGGC